rnacentral:rRNA from 1 species
GGGUUGUGAGGUUAAGCGACUAAGCGUACACGGUGGAUGCCCUGGCAGUCAGAGGCGAUGAAGGACGUGCUAAUCUGCGAUAAGCGUCGGUAAGGUGAUAUGAACCGUUAUAACCGGCGAUUUCCGAAUGGGGAAACCCAGUGUGUUUCGACACACUAUCAUUAACUGAAUCCAUAGGUUAAUGAGGCGAACCGGGGGAACUGAAACAUCUAAGUACCCCGAGGAAAAGAAAUCAACCGAGAUUCCCCCAGUAGCGGCGAGCGAACGGGGAGGAGCCCAGAGCCUGAAUCAGUGUGUGUGUUAGUGGAAGCGUCUGGAAAGGCGCGCGAUACAGGG